rnacentral:rRNA from 1 species
GACGAACGCUGGCGGCGUGCCUAAUACAUGCAAGUAGAACGCAGUUACGAACGGGUGAGUAACGCGUAGGGAACGGACUUAUAGCAGGGGAUAACUAGAGGAAACGAUAGCCAACACCGCAUACUGUGAGACAGACCUGCGUUGGAUGAGGUAGUUGGUGAGGUAAAGGCUCACCAAGGCGACGAUACAGAGCCGAACUGAGAGGGUGUACGGCACAACUGGGGCUGGGAAACGGCCCCAGCUCCUACGGGUGGCAGCCAUAGGGCAUCUUCGGAAAUGGGCGGAAGUCUGACCGAGCAACGCCGCGUGAGUGGAAGAGGUUUUCGGAUCGUAAAGCUCUGUUGUUAAAGAAGCGGUAACUAACCAGAAAGGGACGGCUAACUACGUGCCAGCAGCCGCGGUAAUUC